UUGAGCUUGUCACCGACCUCCACCUGUAUCGCAUAAUGGUAAACUUGGUGAGGCUUGAGUCACAUGACAAAGGGUAGAACAAAAGCGCAACAGCGAAACGUUGAAAGCAAACUUGCAAUGGAGAGAGCACAAUUGCUUCCCACAGAGCAAACUGGUGACUGCACACAAUGCAAUCAGUGAAGGCUGCCACGAAAGGUAGUAACCAAGCUGGGUAAGCUUCUCGCAAAUAUACCGUAGUGGCCAUCCUUCAGAACUAUACCGUUCUGCCUGCAUGAAUACAGGUGCCAUAGCUUCUUUUGGCUCAAGAUCGGCUAUGUGUCAAUGUGUUGAGAUGAAAUGUGGAAAGGCCACAUGAUAAAUGCACACAAGCAUGCAACUGUGCAUGCACAAGCAUGCACUACAUGCACACAGACAUGCACACUUAGAAUGUUUCCUGACAGAUUGUGCUUGCCACUCAGCUUACUUCACUCACAGCAAUAUACUCUGCAAAUUUUCUGCAGUUCUAAAUACCACACAAAGCAUGCUGAAUCUUGUGAAAUGCUAUGAACAAAUGUUCAAUGUCUUAAAAGGCCACCCAAUCAAAGAGAAGGAAAAAAAAGAGAGAGAAAAAAAAAGUACAGAAAGAACAGCAUUAAAAUCAGUAUAUGUUUUCAGCUAUAGUGGUUCAAACUCCUGAAGCAAUUUUGAGUCUGCUCACAUAGAAAUUUAUAUUAACAACAUACAGUGGAGGUCGAGCAUUCCAACUAAUGGUGUUUAUAUGCCAGACACGUUUCUCUGUGUAGCUAUAAAAAAACUUGAAUCAGAGCCAAGAGGAAAGAGGGGAGACCAUAAGGAAAGAUUGUGACGACCCUGACACACGCUGAAGUGCUUGUUUGUCACUAAAACCUGCUCGGCUCACAGACUCAACUCAGCAGCUGCUCUUGAGGUUUAUCGACCGACUUGUACACUGUCGACAAAAGUUGGCUAGGCUGUGGCACUCGAAAACAACUUGCAUUAUCGGCUGAACACGAGAGCCGUCUCUGAUAUGGACAUCAGUAAUUCAGGCCAGCAGACCUAGUGCAGUUGCCAAGAGGAGAGGCUUCGUUGAUGGUUCAAGGUGCGCAGCGACGAGCUUUCUUUGAGAUGCCACAGCUCUGCACAACGCCAUCUCAUGAAGUCAAUUAUAGGUUUUGUCAACAUCAGAGGGUGAGUCAACAUUCCAAAUGCUCUUCUUGCAUAGCUAAUCAAAAACAUUGCCAGCCUUUAAGCACCUAGACAUAAAUUGACAACUUCAACAGCCUAUUAUUAACAUUCACUCUAAUUUUGAGCGAUCACAGAAUAUUUACACAAUGUAAUGCUGGUAGCAAAAGUUACUGUAGGAAUAAGUUGCUCCUAAGCUUCAUUGGUGCAUCAUCAUACAUUGUGUGCAUGUUUAAGAGACUAGCGCUGCAUGGAUGUCAUUUUUCUAAUAGUAUGCAAGCAGGUUUGCAUGCUUUUGCCGCACAUGUGCUCAUUGCUCAGGAAAUGCAUUAGAUGUCUGUCCUAAGGAAUGUCCUGUAUAUUUAUCGGCUAGCUUGAUAUGUCCUUGCAUUCGACAUUGUUACAUAACACAUUGCUGCUAAAUUCUGUCACCCGUGGUACCAUCUGGUUGGAAUGAAGUACAACCACGCUUAAGGUUCGAUUAUUCAAGUCUGAUGAAAUGUUGAUGCAUAAGUACUUGCUAAAUGUGCAAUGGGCACAGCCUUUGUUUGUUUAAACGUUCAUUGUUGCCAGUGGUGAACAUAAUGUGAAUGUGUGCGUGCUUUGGUUUAAGCUGUGUGUGUUUAAUUCCCAUCCAAAAGCAUACAGUUCCACCAGCUACAUACAGGUCUUGAUGUUCAUUGCUAAACAAUGGACUAAUUUAAAACAGAAAACCAAGUUUCACGUAGGAAAAGUGACCUAGCUAUACUUUCAGGAAGUGUUUCAAGAAGCCAGUACUGCAUGAAUGUAUUCCAACGAAUACCAGAUCCAUGUUUACACAUGUUUACAGUGAAAAUGAGAUGAUGCACAUAAAGAAGAGGUGGUACAACCAAGUGCUGUUUGCGUGACCUCUUUUUUCUCUGUACUGUCUGAACCAACUAGCCCAUCUGAACUGCUGUAAACUAUCAUCUGAAUUACUGUAACUACGAAGUACCAUGCAAUUAAUCAAUUUACAACAUGAAAUACACUAACGUAAUACCAAGCGGUUUUGCAUUUUUAUUUUUUACAGCUAGCUACAAAGACUAUUUUUCUAGAGUGCCCAUGUUAUCAGUCUGCUGAACGCUCUGUGUACCUUCAAAAAUGUUACAGGGGGAAAAAAGUUAGUUUGGGAAAAUUUGGGAAUUCUUAAGCUAGUAAUCAUGUCUAAACAUGCCAAUAAAAUACUUGAUUGCAUUAUGACAUUGGAAGCUCCACCUUGCACCUCGCAUACACACAUGGCUUUGUUGAACUUGUAAUGCACCACUUUGGAACAACAUUUAAGUAUUCUGCGCUAGUUUAGACUUAGUUUUUGCCUGCAGUACUAUCAUUAGAGGUGCUUUGACCCCAGCCACAGUUUCUUUACAGUUCACUAAAUUUUUAAUAUUUUUUUGUUUUUGUUCGUGGUAUUUGAAAUACAUAAUUGCCAGUUGUGGUUUCCAGCAAGAUUGAAGAACUUGCGUGUAUUGUGCGUGAGAAACCCGGCGAAUUUUAGCCAGCAUCAGCCCCGAGCUUUUGCGUCUUAUUGAACCUGCCUUAGUCAUGCUGCCAUUACGCAUACACUUACACAGAGACUCUACUUUAUCAAUAGAUAUAGACUUCCCGCAAAGAACCUUCCUAUUCACUGAAGAAACCUGCAUCUAUGAUCCAAUAAGUCACAUUUCCUGCUAUGGUCAGGUCGGUGAAGAAAUUUCAUUAGUUAUUGAAGCAGGGCCCAAUGGCUACUACUUGUAUUGCCAGAUAAGAAAUUUCCUCUCUUGCCCAUACCCUACAUGCAUCCAAAAAUUUUGAACCAAGCUGUGGAUCAGUUUUCCUUCUGAUUGCAAACUUGCAGUGAUAAGAAAUGAGCACUGGGAAUAUGAAUGGCAACAAAUUUUGCAGUAAGAAUACUUUAGCUCUUACUCAAAAUUUGGAUGCUUUGUAGCAAUGCACCAAGAAUCUGUCAAAAACCUACAGGCCACUGCUUUCACAACCAAGGCUGUCGACAGGCUGUGUUGCGCAGCUACUGAUGCCUUAACCAUAUGCAACUACUUCCACACGCUGCCACUUUCAUCUUGUGAGGCAUCCAGUGUAGAAGAUAUUGUGGGCCUAUUUUAAAAGUUCUGACACUCGUGUUAACUGUUCUUCGCGUCUACCGACACUCCGCAUGCACUCCACUCCGUCUACCAGCAUGCACUCCGCUGCUCAGUUAUUUGUUCAUUUCCACACCAUGCCACCUUAGGCAGACACACGGUGAUGUGCAGUGCAUGUGUUUGUGUGUGUGUCAUUAUAUGACACUCCUACAACGUUGAAUCUCUUGCACCUGGCAUAAACUGCAUUACUUCAGCCUCUUCUCAAUCUUUUAGUUCCAGGGGUGCUACAGGAGCUCACUAUGCGGUUCGGAAAGCUCGCAUGGUUACAAAUGGAAUGGUCAGUACGCUUGUAACAGAGGUUGCACUUUUAUGCGAAUAUUUGUUAUGUACGAAUAAAAUCUUUUGUUUUGAAGUGUU